UUGACGGGGACCCGCACAAGCGUGGAUGAUGUGGAUUAAUUCGAUGCAACGCGAAAACCUUACCUACCCUUGACAUGUCCGGAAUCCCGAAGAGAUUUGGGAGUGCUCGCAAGAGAACCGGAACACAGGUGCUGCAUGGCUGUCGUCAGCUCGUGUCGUGAGAUGUUGGGUUAAGUCCCGCAACGAGCGCAACCCUUGUCAUUAGUUGCCAUCAUUUGGUUGGGCACUCUAAUGAGACUGCCGGUGACAAACCGGAGGAAGGUGGGGAUGACGUCAAGUCCUCAUGGCCCUUAUGGGUAGGGCUUCACACGUCAUACAAUGGUCGGUACAGAGGGUUGCCAACCCGCGAGGGGGAGCUAAUCCCACAAAGCCGAUCGUAGUCCGGAUCGCAGUCUGCAACUCGACUGCGUGAAGUCGGAAUCGCUAGUAAUCGCGGAUCAGCAUGUCGCGGUGAAUACGUUCCCGGGUCUU
rnacentral:rRNA from 1 species